rnacentral:misc_RNA from 11 species
GGCAAGGAGGUAAAAAUGAA